rnacentral:rRNA from 1 species
UGGGGAAUAUUGCACAAUGGGCGAAAGCCUGAUGCAGCAACGCCGCGUGAGUGAUGAAGGCCUUCGGGUUGUAAAGCUCUGUCUUUUGGGACGAUAAUGACGGUACCAAAGGAGGAAGCCACGGCUAACUACGUGCCAGCAGCCGCGGUAAUACGUAGGUGGUAAGCGUUGUCCGGAUUUACUGGGCGUAAAGGAUGCGUAGGCGGAAAUUUUUAAGUGAGAUGUGAAAACCCUAAGCUUAACUUGGGGACUGCAUUUCAUACUGGAAAUCUAGAGUGCGGGAGAGGAGAAUGGAAUUCCUAGUGUAGCGGUGAAAUGCGUAGAGAUUAGGAAGAACACCAGUGGCGAAGGCGAUUCUCUGGACCGUAACUGACGCUGAGGCAUGAAAGCGUGGGUAGCAAACAGGAUUAGAUACCCUGGUAGUCCACGCCGUAAACGAUGAGUACUAGGUGUAGGAGGUAUCGACCCCUUCUGUGCCGCAGUUAACACAAUAAGUACUCCGCCUGGGAAGUACGAUCGCAAGAUU